UACGAAGGGGGCUAGCGUUGUUCGGAAUUACUGGGCGUAAAGCGCACGUAGGCGGAUUGUUAAGUGAGGGGUGAAAUCCCAGGGCUCAACCCUGGAACUGCCUUUCAUACUGGCAAUCUCGAGUCCGAGAGAGGUGAGUGGAAUUCCGAGUGUAGAGGUGAAAUGCGUAGAGAUCGGGAGGAACACCCGUGGCGAAGGCGGCGCUCUGGUCGGCAUCUGACGCUGAGAGGCGAAAGCGUGGGGAGCGAACGGG
rnacentral:rRNA from 1 species